GACGAACGCUGGCGGCGUGCUUAACACAUGCAAGUCGAACGGAAAGGCCCUGCUUUUGUGGGGUGCUCGAGUGGCGAACGGGUGAGUAACACGUGAGUAACCUGCCCUUGACUUUGGGAUAACUUCAGGAAACUGGGGCUAAUACCGGAUAGGAGCUCCUGCUGCAUGGUGGGGGUUGGAAAGUUUCGGCGGUUGGGGAUGGAUUCGCGGCUUAUCAGCUUGUUGGUGGGGUAGUGGCUUACCAAGGCUUUGACGGGUAGCCGGCCUGAGAGGGUGACCGGCCACAUUGGGACUGAGAUACGGCCCAGACUCCUACGGGAGGCAGCAGUGGGGAAUAUUGCACAAUGGGCGGAAGCCUGAUGCAGCAACGCCGCGUGCGGGAUGACGGCCUUCGGGUUGUAAACCGCUUUCGCCUGUGACGAAGCGUGAGUGACGGUAAUGGGUAAAGAAGCACCGGCUAACUACGUGCCAGCAGCCGCGGUGAUACGUAGGGUGCGAGCGUUGUCCGGAUUUAUUGGGCGUAAAGGGCUCGUAGGUGGUUGAUCGCGUCGGAAGUGUAAUCUUGGGGCUUAACCCUGAGCGUGCUUUCGAUACGGGUUGACUUGAGGAAGGUAGGGGAGAAUGGAAUUCCUGGUGGAGCGGUGGAAUGCGCAGAUAUCAGGAGGAACACCAGUGGCGAAGGCGGUUCUCUGGGCCUUUCCUGACGCUGAGGAGCGAAAGCGUGGGGAGCGAACAGGCUUAGAUACCCUGGUAGUCCACGCUGUAAACGGUGGGUACUAGGUGUGGGGUCCAUUCCACGGGUUCCGUGCCGUAGCUAACGCUUUAAGUACCCCGCCUGGGGAGUACGGCCGCAAGGCUAAAACUCAAAGGAAUUGACGGGGCCCCGCACAAGCGGCGGAGCAUGCGGAUUAAUUCGAUGCAACGCGUAGAACCUUACCUGGGUUUGACAUGGAUCGGGAGCGCUCAGAGAUGGGUGUGCCUCUUUUGGGGUCGGUUCACAGGUGGUGCAUGGCUGUCGUCAGCUCGUGUCGUGAGAUGUUGGGUUAAGUCCCGCAACGAGCGCAACCCUUGUUCACUGUUGCCAGCACGUUAUGGUGGGGACUCAGUGGAGACCGCCGGGGCCAACUCGGAGGAAGGUGGGGAUGACGUCAAGUCAUCAUGCCCCUUAUGUCCAGGGCUUCACGCAUGCUACAAUGGCUGGUACAAAGAGUGGCGAGCCUGUGAGGGUGAGCGAAUCUCGGAAAGCCGGUCUCAGUUCGGAUUGGGGUCUGCAACUCGACCUCAUGAAGUCGGAGUCGCUAGUAAUCGCAGAUCAGCAACGCUGCGGUGAAUACGUUCCCGGGGCU
rnacentral:rRNA from 1 species